AGAACUGAGGGAAAGAAGGACUGUAGUCUACGUACACUACAACUCUGGAAGAUCAACUUUGGACUGGUAACUUCAACAGGAAUCUACCUGAAGAUCUCAGAUUGUUCACAAGGGCAGAGUUCUGGAGUCAGUCCUGAGAUCUCACUCUGAAGAACAGCUUUGCAAGUGCCGGCUGAUCUCAUUUCGUCUGGGCCAACAACGAUAACGUCAAGAAGCAAGCUCCGCUCCUCUGUGCCGUGCUCUGGGAAAUUACGUCUGUAUCGGCGCCCCGCGCAUCAUUUUCCCGAGAUUGGCGCCUUCGGAAGGGCUGAGAUGGUCAUACUUUCAUCGAGACCUUCAGCUUC